UACGGAAGGGGCAAGCGUUGUUCGGAAUCAUUGGGCGUAAAGGGCGCGUAGGUGGUUCUGUAUGUCUACCGUGAAAGCAUACAGCUCAACUGUAUUUUGUCGGUAGAAACUGCAGGACUUGAGGCUGGGAGGGGCUGGUGGAAUUCCCAGUGUAGCGGUGAAAUGCGUAGAUAUCAGGAGGAACACCGGUGGCGAAGGCGGGUCUCUGGGCCGAUACUGACGCUGAGGAGCGAAAGCGUGGGGAGCAAACAGG
rnacentral:rRNA from 1 species